rnacentral:rRNA from 1 species
UACAGAGGUCUCAACCGUUGUUCGGAUUCAUUGGGCGUAAAGGGUGCGUAGGCGGCGGGGUAAGUCAGGUGUGAAAUCUCGGGGCUCAACCCCGAAACUGCACUUGAUACUGCCUCGCUUGAGUACUGGAGAGGAGACUGGAAUUUACGGUGUAGCAGUGAAAUGCGUAGAUAUCGUAAGGAAGACCAGUGGCGAAGGCGAGUCUCUGAACAGUUACUGACGCUGAGGCACGAAGGCCAGGGGAGCAAACGGG